UGGACAAAUUUUAUUACGAUGGGUGACAAUGGUUAUAAGGACCCAAAAUUAUUUUUUAAAAUUUAACUCGAACAAAUAUAUUCGAUUCGAUUCGAUUCGAAUUCCAUCUCACUCAACUCGAUUCGAGAAAACUUCAAAUAAAGUUAGGAUGAUAAAAUGAGAUUCGAAAACUCGAUUAACUCGAAAAUUUUCGAUUCAAUUCGAUUCGAUUCGAUCGAAUGCUCACCCCUAAAUACAACCCAAAUACAGACUAAAAAACCUAAGCCCAAAAACCAGCCCAAUAAGCCCAAAUCUAACCCUAGCCCAGAAACCCAAAUCAGAGACAAAAAAUAAAUUUUUCAAACCCUAGGUGCGCCGCACCUAGGGUUCUCUGCCCCGUUGGCCACCGCAUGCUAGGACCUGCUGCCACCGCCCUUGUCCCAUUUGCCUCUGACGCCUAGCCACUGCCACCGCCGCCUGCAGCACCAACUCCACUGCUCAACCCCUGCAAAAUGAAAACCAAACACGCAAAGCAGAAGCAAAAACAAUGCAAAAUAGUAGAAAAAAUAGAUAAAAAAAUGUAUUGUAAAUUGGCUAUUAAAGCCUGGAUCUCAGCCUUGUAAUCUUUCUUCUUUUGCUUUCACGAACGUUAGAAAAUAAAAACAAAAAAAAAGUUUCAAGAUGAUUAUCUUUAUUAUUUUAGAUUUCGAUUUUAUUUUAUUUUAUUUUCAUUUUAUCUUCUUAUUUUUAAGCACGAAAAUAAAAAAGAAAAGGAGAAAGAAACAUACCUGAAUCAGCCCUUAGAUCCGUCGUUAUCAGCCCUUCGACGCCGUCGGAUUCAGGUUUAGGGAAGGGCUAAGACCCUUUUUUUUUCUCCUUGUUUCCCCAUUCUAAGAUUUUGGUCUUUGAACGCGUUUCAACGCACUGAUCGAGAACGCCCUCUUGCAACGCCGGCCGUCAGCCACGGCGGCGCAAGCGAUGGUCCUGUUGGCUGAAUUUAGAGGGAUCGAGAGAGAGGCUAAGAGCUCUCUUUUUUUUUCUGAAAAAUGAAG
rnacentral:lncRNA from 1 species